GUGGUAAUGCCGGAUGUUCCAGUUGAUCGCAUGGUCUUCUGGGAAAGCUUUCGCGGUAUGGGAUGGGGUCGCGUCCUAUCAGCUUGACGGCGGGGUAACGGCCCACCGUGGCUUCGACGGGUAGCCGGCCUGAGAGGGCGACCGGCCACAUUGGGACUGAGAUACGGCCCAGACUCCUACGGGAGGCAGCAGUGGGGAAUAUUGCACAAUGGGCGCAAGCCUGAUGCAGCGACGCCGCGUGAGGGAUGGAGGCCUUCGGGUUGUAAACCUCUUUUAUCGGGGAGCAAGCGUGAGUGAGUUUACCCGUUGAAUAAGCACCGGCUAACUACGUGCCAGCAGCCGCGGUAAUACGUAGGGUGCAAGCGUUAUCCGGAAUUAUUGGGCGUAAAGGGCUCGUAGGCGGUUCGUCGCGUCCGGUGUGAAAGUCCAUCGCUUAACGGUGGAUCCGCGCCGGGUACGGGCGGGCUUGAGUGCGGUAGGGGAGACUGGAAUUCCCGGUGUAACGGUGGAAUGUGUAGAUAUCGG
rnacentral:rRNA from 2 species